rnacentral:rRNA from 1 species
ACCCGCUGAAUUUAAGCAUAUAAGUGAGUGGAUGACGAUAAACUAAACAUGUUUUCCUGAGUAAUGGCGAAUGAACAGGAAGUGGCACAUCGUGGAAUGCAGAGCUCCUUGCUCUGGCUUGUAUUCGCAAGAUGUACUAGCAACGGAGGUGCAGGUGUGAGCCUUUUGGAAAGGAGCAUUGACAAGGGUGACAACCCCAUUGUGGUACCUGCAAUCUCCCCGGUGCAUGGUAUACAUUCUCAGAGUCACGCUCUUUGGGCCUGGAGCGCGAAGUGGGUGGUAGGUUUCACCUAAAGCUUCACAAUGGUCUGAGACCGAUAGCAAACAAGUACCAUGAGGGGAAGGUGAACAAGGACUUUGGAAAGAAAGUUAAAUGUGCUUGAACUUGUUGGAAGGAAAGUGGGUGUAACCUGUGCGACCUGGUGAGAUUGUUGUGUGUCAGGGUGGUUGCCUGCUGGCAUGUGCAACAUGUCGCAGUAGGUCCACCAACUUGGUGUGCACAAUGUUUCUCCCAGACCCUUGUCAGCCACCACAGGCAUUCGAAUGGUGAAACAAGCAUGGCAUGGUAAUUUACCCCAGGGUAGGUUGGUGUGCCUGACUGCACCCAUGGACAGCUAUAUGUGGCUACAUGGUUACUGCCAGCCCGUCUUGAAACACGGACCAAGGAGUCUAAUGCACAUGCAAGUUUCUGGGUAUGGACACCUAGUUGCGCAAUGAAAGUAUUUGCCUGGAUGUCUGCACAAGCAGCUGACCAAUCAAUUUAGUGAGGUUUGAGUGUGAGCAUGUGUGCUAGGCCCCGAAAGAUGGCGAACUAUGCUUGUGCAGGGCAAGCCCAGAGGAAACUCUGAUGGAGGCCCGAAGCGAUACUGACGUGCAAAUCGUUCGUCGCACAUGGGUAUAGGGGCGAAAGACUAAUCGAGCCAUCUAGUAGCUGGUUCCCUCCGAAGUUUCCCUCAGGAUAGCUGGAGUUGAACAGUCUCACCAGGUAAAGCGAAUGGUUGGAGGUUUCAGGGGCUCGCUGUUCUUGACCUACUUCCAAACUUUAAAUGGGUAAGCACCAGUAGCUACUUGGGUGAGCUUCUGGAAUGCAUGGCAACUUUAAGUGGGCCAUUUUUGGUAAGCAGAACUGGUGAUGAGGGAUGAACCUAAUGUUGGGCUAAGGCGCUUUAUUGCUCGCUCAUCAGAUACCAUAAAGGGUGUUGGUUCAUUUUAACAGCAGGACAGUGGUCAUGGAAGUCGAAAUCUGCUAAGGAGUGUGUAACAACUCACCUGCCGAAUGGACUAGCCCCGAAAAUGGAUGGCGCUCAAGCGGGUUGCUGAUGCCCAGCCAUCCAUGCGACCGUGUUGCACAGAUGUGUAGGAGGGUGUGGGGGUGUAUUGCGAAGCGUUUGGCGGAAGGCUGGGUGGAAUCGCCUCUGGUGCAGAUCUUGGUGGUAGUAGC